CUCCUUCUCUUCCUCCCUUUUCUGCCCUUUCCAGACUGGUCAGGUUCUCUGCCUCCUCUUUGGAUUCCAUAUUCCAGAGUUAGAGCCUUAUGGAUUGGGAGGAUUCAUCCUGGAGCAGAAACUCCUGGGAUGAACCUGGUCACUGGCCUGCACCCAGCCUCUAAGCCUGAGCUUAGGGGAGAAAGGGCAUUCAGUGGCAUUCAUUCAUUCAUUCAUUUAUUUAUUCAUUCAUUCAUUCAUUUAUUCAUUCAAUCAGUCAUUUGCAGGCCUUGUUGUAUCCAUCCCUACUGCCACCUUGGGCUGGACCUGGACCCCAGAAUUUAAAGUUGGGGAAGAGAAGGAGAGGGGGUUGGCAGUUGUCUGUGUCCCCCCUUCAGGGACUUGUGUGGUGCCUUCAUUUCCCUCAGAUAGCAAAGCUCUCAACCCUUUUCUCUCAUCUUGGGAACUGGGGGUGUAGAAUUUCACACUUGUGCUGCCUGGGGCAUUCAUUGCUCUGCCUCUGAGGACCCUGCUCUUCCCCAAGAGGGAAGCAUUCAGGAGAGAAUGGUCCCUGUGAUCCCAACAGCCAGGUGCCAGUUAUCUCUUCCACAUCGAGGGGCUUAGGGUCGUGGCGCCCCUGCAGUCUGGAAAAUCCACGUAAAAUUUUUUGGCCCUUCCUUCGUACCAGAGAAGAAGUCUGACUUAUUAUGGUAUUAAAAG